UGGCGAACGGGUGAGUAACGCGUGAGGAACCUGCCUCAAAGAGGGGGACAACAGUUGGAAACGACUGCUAAUACUGCAUAAGCCCACGACCCGGCAUCGGGAAGAGGGAAAAGGAGCAAUCCGCUUUGAGAUGGCCUCGCGUCCGAUUAGCUAGUUGGUGAGGUAACGGCCCACCAAGGCGACGAUCGGUAGCCGGACUGAGAGGUUGAACGGCCACAUUGGGACUGAGACACGGCCCAG
rnacentral:rRNA from 1 species